AACACGAUCUCUCCCUGCUUUGUGAAAACAAAACAAAAACCAAAAAUGAAAUUAAAAAAAAAACCACAAAACCUAGAUGCGUAUGUGAGUGAAAAGGGGAGCUAUUAAUAUUUAUAGUUGGAGCACAGGCAUAAACCUAGUCUGUCCUGGACACUGGGAUAUAUGGUUGUAUUAGGGUUCUCCAGGGCUCUUUAUUUUAUAUCUGCAUAUGUAUAGUACGUAGUAUAUACAAGGAGAUUUCUGAUAAGAAAUUGGCUCAUGAGAUUAUAGAAGCUAGCAAAUCCAAAAUCUGUAAAGCCCAUUCCAGUCCAAAGGCUGGAAGCCUCCAUAAAACCAGGAAGAGUGGCUUUCAUGAAGAUGGUGCGGAAAGCAAAGAAGGAAGCCCCUGCCCCUCCCAAAGCUGAAGCCAAAGCAAAGGCUUUGAAGGCCAAGAAAGCAGUCCUGGAAGGCAUCCACAGUCACACAAAAAAAGAUCUUCCUGUCACCUACAUUCCUUCAGAGACACUGUAUCUAAGAAGGCAUCCCAAAUAUUCUGGACGUGCCCCCAGGAGAAAUAAGCUUGACCACUAUGGCAUCAUCAAAUUCCCCCUGACUACUGAGUCAGCCGUGAAGAAAAUAGAAGACAACAACACUCUUGUGUUCAUUGUGGAUGUCAAGGCCAACAAGCAUCAGAUCAAACAGGCUGUGAAGAAGCUCUAUGACAUUGACAUGGCCAAGGUCAACACUCCGAUCAAGCCCCAUGGAGGAAAGAAGGCAUAUGUUUGACUGACUCCUGACUGUGAUGCUUUGGAUGUUGCCAACAAAAUUGGGAUCAUCUAAACUGUGUCCAGCUGGCUAAAUCUAAAUAUAAAUUUUUUCACCAAAAACAACAACAACAACAACAACAACAACAACAACAACCCACAAACACCCCCCCCCCCCCCCCCCACACACACACACAAAACUCAAUAAAACACCAUGAAGAGCUAAGGUCCCAGUUUGAAGGUUGUCAGGCAGAAAUCUCUCAUACUCUGGGAGGGCCAGCCUUUUGUUCUAUUUAAACCUUCAACUGAUUGGAUGAGUUCAACUGCUUUACUUAGUCUAACAAUUUAAAUGUGAAUCUCCUCCAAAACCACCCUCACAGAAACAUCCAGAAAAAAGUAUAACCGAAUAUCUGGGCUUUCCAUGGUUUAGCCAAAUUGACACAUAAAAUUAAUUGGAGUAGCCAUCCAACUUCUUUUAAAGUGGCAGGUAAUUUGCUGUCUCAUGUUGAGCCUCUGGCCACAGUGAUUCACACAGUAUUUUCUUUUACCUUUACUGCAACAAUGAAUCCAGUCUCUCCUUAUUGUAUACUUGCUCCUAGUUUGUGUCAGAAAUUCUCUGGCUCCAGCCCCUUCAUAUUUAUUUAUCUUUCUUCUAGGUAUUUAAUUUUAUCGUGUCAUUUUAAGACAUUGAUUUAUAAACUAUGCUCUGUGGAGGGAUGUGGUGUGGGGUAGGUAAAUGGAAGAAUGUAGGCAACAGGUGGGUUAUCAGGCACCACUGUUGCUUCAACAGAGUUGAAGCUCUGUUUUUGUUGCUUCCCGGUAAGCUUUUAUCUGAGGACAGAUUAGUUGGUUAAACUGUGUUUGAAAAUCACUACAUAUUUUCCUUAAUGAGUCCAUGAAACUGCUGAAAUUGUAUGUAAUAAUUUCUUUGUGAGGUUGUGUUUUUCUGAGGAGAGGGUGCACAAAUUUCUCGUUUAUUUACAAAGGUCUGUAACUAACAACAAAUUAAUCACCCAUUGGUUAAAUGUUAUGCAUGUUAUCUUGUAUUUUCAAAAGUAGAUAUGAUUUAGAAAUUACAUAUGAGGAUGCUGAGAAUAUUGAUAUUUAAUAAAUCAUGUCCUAUGUUUCUAUUGGCUCAGUAACAAAAUGAUACUGAAAUGAUGCAAAGAUUCAUUUGCACCAGAAAACAAAAGAGGAAAAAAGGCCUUUCCAAUGCACAUUUAACUGUAGACAUUACUGCCUUCUUGGUGGGGUGGCAUGUUUGAUACAUGGAGACAAAAGUAUCUUCCUUCUCAACACUCUUCUCUGAAACUUGGCUAAGUAGAAAAAUAUCAUUGAGUCAGAUCAAGUUUAAACAGAAAAAAAUUUCUGUUUUCUAUUGUUCCAUAGCAAACACUGUAAACACUUACUGGCUUAAAAUAACAGCAUUUAUUAUUUUUUAUGAUUCUUUCGGUUGACUGGCUGGCUCAUUACUCCACAUAGUGUCAGCUGGGAACGUGGCCAGGCUACCUUUGCCCUCCAUGUGGUAUCUUAUCCUUCAGAGAAUGUAUUUCCAUGUAUCCUCUCCCUUCAGGAGAACAGAAUGGAGACUGAGUUCCAAGAAGAUGAGUCCCAGUGUACAAUUGCUUGUCAACCUUCUGUUCACAUCAUGCAUGUUGAUGCAUGGCCAAAGUUCAUGUGCAAGCCCAGAAUCAAUAUGGGAGAGAACCAUCCCAAGCUUCAAUCCUGGGAGCAUGAUUCAUUAGGAGCCACCAGUGUAAUUUCUAACACAGAAAGGAAUUUGAAAAAAUUUGUUUGUACAAAGAAGGCUGGUAGCUCAUGGUCAGAGAUGAAAUCUGUUAUUAGAAAUUAAAAAACUAUGUAUCCAUACAUAUAAUUUAGGUAAUGUAUCCAUACAUAUAAUUAGAAAAUUUAGGUAAUGUAUCCAUACAUAUAAUUAGAAAAUUCAUCCCUUAAAAACCUUCACUAUUAAAAUAGGAAGAAAGAAAAUGAAAUCAUUAAGUGUCUUAUUUGAAAUAUUUUUUAAGUGCACAGAAUAACUACUAAGGAAAACAUAGGCAUAAAUAAUAAGGCAAAAGGGAGAAUUUAACAGUUUGAAAAGCCAUCACAAAAAUGAUAGGUUAAUAUCAAAAGUUGCUUCCUUGAAAAGCCUAAUGAAAUAAAGCUCUCAUAGUUAAAAAUCAAGUAAAAUAGAGAAAACACAUACAUAAUAUAAUGAAAAUUUGAAUUAAAGGUUAAUUCUAGGCUUACUAAUAUAUUAUCCUAUUCUGAAAUCCAUUACCAAUUCUGUAAAGAAAUACAAAUUUGGGGUGCCUAGGUGGCUUAGUCGGUUAAGUGUCCAACUCUUGUUUUUGGCUCAGAUCAUUAUCUCUGUUUGCGGGUUCAAGCCCUGCAUCCAGCUCUGCGCUGUCACUGCAGAGCCUGCUUGGGAUUCUCUCUCUCUCCCUCUCUCUCUCUCUCUGUCUCUCUCCCUCUCCUUCUAGCCCUCUCCCACUUGUACUCCCUGUCUCUCAAAAUACAUAAACUUGAAAAAAAAUAAAGAAAUACAAAUUUGAAGUUACAAUAUUUGAAAGAAUGGUGCAAAAUUAACAUUAUUUAUAGAUAAUUUGAUUUGUAAUCCAGAUAACUUGAGAUAACUCAAAAGUAUUAAGAUUAACAAAUUAAAUAUGUUUAAAAUGCAUAUAAAAAUAAGGAACUCUGUUAUUUAUCAGCAGUGAUCACAAUAUAUUGUAGAGAACAGUUUUCAUACACAUUAGUAGCAAAACUUUACCCAGGAAUAUAUUAGCUCAUUGCCUGGUCCAUGAAAGUCUCUCAAAAAUAUUUUCUGGAUGUUCAGGGGAUGCAUAGCUGGCUCAGUCGAUGGAGCAUGCAACUCUUGAUCUCAGGCUCAUGAGUUUUAGCCCCAUGUAUUGGGCAUGGAGCCUACUUAAUUAAAAAAAAGAAAAAAAAUUCUGGGUGUUCAUAGACUAAUAAAAAUGAACCAGAAGAGUGUAGAACCUAUGUGAACAGCCAAUACACUUUACUUGAGACAUAAUAAAGGGUGUUGAUUAAAUAAAUGUGUACCAUGUUCCAGGAUGGGAACUGUGAAUAUUGUGAAGACGCUAAUUUUAUCCUAUUAAUUUAAAUGUUUACUUCAGUUCCAUUAUGUGACUUCAAAACAGUUUUUGGAACUUAAAGUCAUACGAAAGUGUGAUGGAAGAACAAAAAAGGGGGUAAUGGUAUUCGUUUCUUUUUUAAAAACAAGAGUAAGAUAUGCAGACACUACUGAAGACUUGAAUUUAAAACAAAGCCGUGAUAACCAAAACGGCAUGUGAUUGGCACCAAAUCAGUUAGAUUAAUAAAUCUGAAUAAAAAUGUCAAGAACAGACUUUAAUGUAAUCAGAAUAUGAAAUAUGUUAAAUUUUCAAACCAGUAGAAAAAUUCAUUUAUUUAAAUACUGAUGCUGGAAGCACUACUUAAAAAUUUUUUUAUGUCUUUAUUUUAUUUUGAGAGAUGGAGUGCAAGUUGGGGGAGGGGCAGAGAGAGAGGGAGACACAAAAUCCAAAGCAGGCUCCAGGCUCUGAGCUGCAGCACAGACCCCGACACGGGGCUCAAACCCACAGACUGUGAGAUCAUGACCUGAGCUGAAGUCAGAUGCUUAACCGACUGAGCCACCCAGGUGCCCCAUGGAAGUAUUAUUAAUAAUAAAAAUAAGAACUCUAUGUCAAAUUAUAAACCAUAAUAAAUAAAAACAAUGGUAAUUGACAUAUUUGCCUACAUAAAACUAAAAAUUUUUGUAUGUAAACAUAUUAUGAAUAAAAGUUAAAAAAUGUAAGUUUCAGUUAGGCAGAAUGAUAAAUUCUAGAGAUCUGCUGUACAAUAUCGUGCCUGUAAUUAACAGCACUAUAUUUACACUUUAAAAGUUUGUUAAAUUUGUCACGUUAAGUGUCCUUACUACAAUGAAAAACAACUUGGGGCACCUGGAUGGCUCAGUCAAUUGAGUGUCUGACUCUUGAUUUCUGCUCAGAUCAUGAUCUCAGGGUCGUGAGAUCAAGCUGCAUGUUGGGUUUACAACAGAGCAUGGAGCCUGCUUGGGAUUUUCUCUCUCUCUCUCUCUCUGCCCCUCCUCUGUUUAUUCUCUCUCUCUGUCUCAAAAUAAAUAAACUUAAAAAAAACCUUGAUGCGGUAUUUUCCAGAAAUUUUUUUCUUCAAAAAUCCCUUGAAAGUGAAAAUUCUUAUUAAAUAACGAGCCUUUACAAAAAUAAUGAAAGAAUGAGCAAUAAAUACAUAAAUAACAGAACUGAUUAGGACACGAACCAACAAAAGAAUACAAAAUAAAAAAAAAAGAAUGGGAGUUAUUUAACCUCACAAUUGAUUAGAGAAAAUAAAAAUCUAUGUAUUUUGUAUUUUAAAAUUUGAAAAAUGAAAGAAAAAUGAUAGCCAGUGUUGUCAAUAGUUCAGGUAAAUGGGACUUAUGCAUUAUAGAGGAGGGCAGAAGUAACACGACAUAUGUAGAAUACAUGUGUAGAAUAAUUUGGUAAUUUGUAUCAAAAUACUUUAAAUGAAAAUAUCUUUGAUCUCUAAUUUUGUCUCCUAAAAUUGUCCCUAAGUAAAUAAUGAUGGAUGUGAAUUAGAGCAUUAAUGUUUUAUUGCAAACAUAAAAAAAAAUAU
rnacentral:lncRNA from 1 species